rnacentral:lncRNA from 1 species
UCUGUCAUGUUACUUGAUAUUACAACCUCCUGUUAUCUGUCAUGUUACUGUAUAUCUGUCAGUUACUGUAUACACCUCCUGUAUAUCUGUCAUGUUACUGUUUAUCUGUCAUGUCCUGUAUUACAAUAUACUCCUGUAUAUUCUGUCAUGUUACUGUAUUACACUCCUGUAUCUGUCAUGUUUACUGUAUCUCACCUCCUGUAUAUCUGUUCAUGUUACUGAUAUCUGUCAUGUUACUGUAUUACACCUCCUGUAUAUCUGUCAUGUUACUGUAUUACACCUCCUGUAUAUCUGUCAUGUUACUGUAUUACACCUCCUGUAUAUCUGUCAUGUUACUGUAACUGUCAUGACUGUCAUACACCUCCUGUAUAUCUGUCAUGUUACUGUAUAUCUGUCAUGUUACUGUAUUACACCUGCUGUAUAUCUUGUCCUUUUACUUUAUUACCCCUCCCUUUUAUAUCUGUAUGUUAUGUAUU